CACAACAAUGAUAGUGACAUUUUCUGAAAGCCAGCAAAAAUACCUACGUUUUGAUGUAUAAUUUGUGGGGACUGAGUGUAAAUUGAGCGAGUAGCAAGAAGUUGUUCAGACAUGAAGAGAAAAUUCAGAACAGACCAGCCCUCACUCUGAGUUAAUUGCAUAGCAACCAUAACAACGCAUGUAUUUUCUGAAAAAUCACAAUUUUGCAACUGAAAACUUAAAGAGGUAUAAAAUUAAAACGGUAGAAGAUCUGAAAAAGCUGAAUCACUCAGGAAUAGCAACCAUAACAACGCAUGUAUUUUCUGAAAAAUCACAAUUUUGCAACUGAAAACUUAAAGAGGUAUAAAAUUAAAACGGUAGAAGAUCUGAAAAAGCUGAAUCAGACAGGAAUAGCCCAAUAAUUUGAGAACAUUUUAAAGUUUGAAUGGAGUUUCUAGGUGAAAGUAUGACAAAGUAGUUAAGUUUCAAAAACAAGCAAGUUUUAGCAGAAUUUCUGAAGAUUUCCAUUCAUUUCAAUGGGACAAAUUAAAGGAAAAAAGUGUAAUAUUUUAAAAAGUAUAACAGUAAUAAACACCAAAAGUCAUAGCAAUAAUUAGCAGAAAGAGCAGAACAGUAUAGAGUUUGAACUGAGAAAAUCGGCUGAAAACUGAGGAAGUAGUUAAACGACAAAAAACGUACGGAAGCAACCAGAAUAAAGUAUAAUAAAGAAUAAAGAGAAACAGGAACUCAAUAGUGUGGAAGCCCUUUUAGGGCAUCCACACAAUAAAGAGAAACAGGAACUCAAUAGUGUGGAAGCCCUUUUAGGGCAUCCACACAAUAAAGAGAAACAGGAAAACAAUUGUGUGGAAGCCCUUUAGGGCAUCCACACAAUAAAGAGAAACAGGAACUCAAUAGUGUGGAAGCCCUAUUAGGGCAUCCACACAAUAAAGAGAAACAGGAACUCAAUAGUGUGGAAGCCCUUUAGGGCAUCCACACAAUAAAGAAUAAAGAGAAACAGGAA
rnacentral:lncRNA from 1 species